rnacentral:rRNA from 1 species
UACGUAGGGUGCAAGCGUUGUCCGGAAUUAUUGGGCGUAAAGAGCUCGUAGGCGGCUUGUCACGUCGCUGUGAAAACCCGGGGCUCAACUCCGGGCCUGCAGCGAUCGGGCUGGCUGAGUGCGGUAAGGGAGACUGAAUUCCUGGUGUAGCGGUGAAAUGCGCAGAUAUCAGGAGGAACACCGGUGGCGAAGGCGGGUCUCUGGGCCGAACUGACGCUGAGGAGCGAAAGCGUGGGGAGCGAACAGG